UACAGAGGGUGCAAGCGUUAAUCGGAAUUACUGGGCGUAAAGCGUGCGUAGACGGUAGCGUAAGUCGGGUGUGAAAGCCCCGGGCUCAACCUGGGAAUUGCAUUCGAGACUGCUCUGCUAGGGUGCGGAAGAGGGAAGCGGAAUUUCCGGUGUAGCGGUGAAAUGCGUAGAUAUCGGAAGGAACACCAGUGGCGAAAGCGGCUUCCUGGUCCAGCACCGACGUUCAGGCACGAAAGCGUGGGGA
rnacentral:rRNA from 1 species